rnacentral:rRNA from 1 species
GGGAUUGCCCUAGUAACGGCGAGUGAAGCGGCAACAGCUCAAAUUUGAAAUCUGGCUCUCGGGCCCGAGUUGUAAUUUGUAGAGGAUACUUUUGAUGCGGUGCCUUCCGAGUUCCCUGGAACGGGACGCCAUAGAGGGUGAGAGCCCCGUCUGGUUGGAUGCCAAAUCUCUGUAAAGUUCCUUCGACGAGUCGAGUAGUUUGGGAAUGCUGCUCUAAAUGGGAGGUAUAUGUCUUCUAAAGCUAAAUACCGGCCAGAGACCGAUAGCGCACAAGUAGAGUGAUCGAAAGAUGAAAAGCACUUUGAAAAGAGAGUUAAAAAGUACGUGAAAUUGUUGAAAGGGAAGCGUUUAUGACCAGACUUGGGCUUGGUUAAUCAUCUGGGGUUCUCCCCAGUGCACUUUUCCAGUCCAGGCCAGCAUCAGUUUUCCCCGGGGGAUAAAGACUUCGGGAAUGUGGCUCUCUUCGGGGAGUGUUAUAGCCCGUUGUGUAAUACCCUGGGGGGGACUGAGGUUCGCGCAUCUGCAAGGAUGCUGGCGUAA